rnacentral:rRNA from 1 species
GGUUAAGCUAAUAAGAGCGCAGGGAGGAUGCCUUGGCAUCAGGAGCCGAAGAAGGACGUGGUAAGCUGCGAAAAGCUACGGGGAUUGGCAAGCACGAUAUGAUCCGUAGAUAUCCGAAUGGAGCAAUCCACAUGGAGUCAAGUCCAUGUAUCAUAUACUGAAUAAAUAGGUAUAUGAGGGGAACCGCCCGAACUGAAACAUCUAAGUAGGGCGAGGAAAAGAAAUCAACCGAGAUUCUGUGAGUAGUGGCGAGCGAAAGCGGAAGAGGCUAAACCGAGAGGAGCAAUCCUUUCGGGGUUUAGGACUGCAUUUAGUACAAUGAUUGUUAACCGAACAGCAUGGGAAGGCUGAUCAAAGAAGGUGAGAAUCCUGUAGGUGAAAAUGAAAGUUGACGAGCAGUAUCCAAAGUACCGCGGGGCACGUGAAAUCCCGUGGGAAGAUGGGGGGACCAUCCUCCAAGCCUAAAUACAACCUGAUGACCGAUAGCGAAUAGUACUGUGAAGGAAAGGUGAAAAGCACCCCGGGAGGGGAGUGAAAUAGAACCUGAAACCCUGUGCUUACAAGCACUUAGAGCAUGUCAAAGUGUGAUAAGGUACCUAUUGUAGAAUGGUCCGGCGAGUUAUUGUAUGCAGCGAGGUUAAGUAGUUCAGCUACGGAGCCGAAGUGAGAGCGAGUGUUAACAGCACGUUCAGUUGCAUGCAAUAGACCCGAAACCGGGUGACCUAUCCAUGUCCAGGAUGAAGUGAGGGUAAAACCUCAUGGAGGUCCGAACCCACUCCCGUUGAAAUGGUAGGGGAUGAGGUGUGGAUAGCGGAGAAAUUCCAAUCGAACCCGGAUAUAGCUGGUUCUCCCCGAAAUAGUUUUAGGACUAGCCUCGUGAUUAAGAUUAUCGGAGGUAAAGCACUGAAUGGCCUAGGGGUCGAGAGAUUACCGAAGCCUAUCAAACUCUGAAUGCCGAAUAAUCAUGCACGGGAGUCAGACUGUGUGAGAUAAGUUUCAUAGUCGAAAGGGAAACAGCCCAGACCUACAGCUAAGGUCCCAAAGUACGUUUAAGUGGAAAACGAUGUGAAAUUGCGUAGACAACCAGGAUGUUGGCUUAGAAGCAGCCAUACAUUAAAAGAGUGCGUAAUAGCUCACUGGUCGAGUGACUUUGCGCGGAAAAUUUAACGGGGCUAAAACGUACACCGAAGCUUAGGCUUGCAACAAUGUUGCAGGGGUAGGGGAGCGUU